GUGGGGAAUAUUGGACAAUGGGCGAAAGCCUGAUCCAGCCAUGUCGCGUGUGUGAAGAAGGUCUUCGGAUUGUAAAGCACUUUAAGUUGGGAGGAAGGGCAGUAAGUUAAUACCUUGCUGUUUUGACGUUACCGACAGAAUAAGCACCGGCUAACUUCGUGCCAGCAGCCGCGGUAAUACGAAGGGUGCAAGCGUUAAUCGGAAUUACUGGGCGUAAAGCGCGCGUAGGUGGUUUUGUAAGUUGGAGGUGAAAUCCCCGGGCUCAACCUGGGAACUGCCUCCAAAACUACUGAGCUAGAGUACGGUAGAGGGUAGUGGAAUUUCCUGUGUAGCGGUGAAAUGCGUAGAUAUAGGAAGGAACACCAGUGGCGAAGGCGACUACCUGGACUGAUACUGACACUGAGGUGCGAAAGCGUGGGGAGCAAACAGGAUUAGAUACCCUUGUAGUCC
rnacentral:rRNA from 1 species